CCUUGAGUUCCUGCCAUGACUUCUUCAGGGAUACACAGUGAUAUGGAAAUCCUGCUUGAUCCCAUGUGAUACUCUCCAGAAUGGGUGCCGCUCAGCCAAGGCCUCCGUUGCCGCUUUCCUCCCACCUCAUCUCGCCACUGGCCUAACAGGCUUUCUUGUCACCUGCACAGACAUGUCCUUCACACUCAAGAGAAUUCCAAGCAAAAGAAAAGGUGAUAAGCUGACUCCACCCAUCACCCAGCUGCAGAAAUUGUUAGCACACGCACAUCCACUUGUGGCUGAUUGACUCACACUUACUCCUUUCCAUGUUAUUUGAAUGAAGACUCCAGAAAUUAUUUCAUUUGCCGACAAAUAUUUCAGUAGCCAUCACUAUAAGAGGUUGGAAAGAGGUGAUCGUCCAUCAUGCCUUCUUCACUUUCUAGCAGAAUACUUCUAUAAAGAGAAAUGACCUCUCAUGAGCUCCUUGCUUAUCUUAAAAAGGACCUUGGGCACCUCUGCCUUCACCAUGCCCUUGCUCAGGAAUCCUUGGCAAGAUUCUACUAUGGUCCUCCCACUGCCUGAGGGCAAGAGUCUGACUGCUUGCUGUUGCAUUUGGAGUGAGCCAAGGGUAUCCCUGCCAUUUACUGUUCACACUGAUUCUAGUGCCUUCUCUGAACACAACACUGGCAUUCUAAGCAGGUGUCCUGCAAUAUACAAGUCCUAGAUGUGGGACUAGAAAGAUGGCUCAGUGGAUAAAAGGGGCUUGUUGUCGAAGCUGAUGACCUAAGUUUGAUUCCUGGGCCAUACAUGACAGAAAGAAAGACCCAACUCCCACAAGUUGUCUUCUGAU